AUGCAAUGUAUGUGAUUGCAGAUUUCCUGUGUUCAUCAAAUCUUUAAACGCACCUUGCGCUCUAUGGUAUUCCGUAAAGCAUGCCUGUUUGAGUGCCAUGAAAUCUCCCAACUUAAUUGGUUUUUAAAUGAAAUAUGUUGUUUGAUGGGGUCAGGAUGGGUGACUCCCUUUACGCUACCUAUCGCUGGCUCUCCCAAAGUGCAUGAACGGCGGAUACACUUUGCUUCCGCCUCUCUGUUUGGGAGGAGGCGGCCAACCUUUGUUUUUCUCCUGGCAUGGGUUGAUACUGCAUUUGCUAUGUCGCCUAAAGGAGGAAUGUUUGGUUGUGUCUGCGUGUACUUCGAACUUGCCUCUGUGGCACAUCCCAAUUUAACAUCAGAUCUCAAAUCAGGUAGGAUCACCCGCUGAACUUAAGCAUAUCAAUACACUUAGGAAAAUAUCUCA
rnacentral:misc_RNA from 1 species